GCGACGAUGCGUAGGGGUUCUGAGAGGAAGGUCCCCCACACUGGUACUGAGACACGGACCAGACUCCUACGGGAGGCAGCAGUGAGGAAUAUUGGUCAAUGGGAGAGAUCCUGAACCAGCCAAGCCGCGUGAGGGAAGACGGCCCUAUGGGUUGUAAACCUCUUUUGUCGGAGAACAAAACCCGGGACGAGUCCCGGACUGCGUGUAUCCGAAGAAAAAGCAUCGGCUAACUCCGUGCCAGCAGCCGCGGUAAUACGGAGGAUGCGAGCGUUAUCCGGAUUUAUUGGGUUUAAAGGGUGCGUAGGCGGUCCGUUAAGUCAGCGGUAAAAUUGCGGGGCUCAACCCCGUCGAGCCGUUGAAACUGGCAGACUUGAGUUGGCGAGAAGUACGCGGAAUGCGCGGUGUAGCGGUGAAAUGCAUAGAUAUCGCGCAGAACUCCGAUUGCGAAGGCAGCGUACCGGCGCCACACUGACGCUGAGGCACGAAAGCGUGGGGAUCGAACAGGAUUAGAUACCCUGGUAGUCCACGCAGUAAACGAUGAAUGCUGGUUGUCCGGGUCGAAUGAGAUCUGG
rnacentral:rRNA from 1 species